GAGAUGGCUCAGUGGUAAAGUAUCUGUUUGCAAGCAGAACUCCCAGGGUUCAAUCCCCAGGGGCAUCU